CUUAUGCCACAAAUUCUUUACCACGUGUCAGACUCGUGGCUUUUGCUUACGGCACAAAUCCCUUACCACGAGUCUCGCUCGUGGUUAUAGGCCAAAGGGUUAAAUGUUGGUGAUCAAUUUUGGAUCUCGCACGGAGUAAUCACGUACAUACGACCACACCUUCAGCAACAGUACAGCGUGACAAUUUCUGCUCAUAGAUUGAAGUACGCGCAUUUUUGCAUGCGUCCUGAGUGGCAUGAAGGUUAGGCGGGUUGCAGUGAGCGCAUCGUCACCCGUUCCGUCCUCGACUUGCCCGUCCAGGAAUGUGUAAAUUCGACAAUUACAGUAUCGUGUUGCGAGGUAAUCUAGAAUGGUCAGAACCUGUAUAGAUCCGAUAAAGAUCGGAUUCAGGUUAAAAAUGAAGCUCGGUGCUUCUCGCUCGAGUAUUCAGCCGUGUGGCGUGCUCGCUACCAUAAUUGCUCGUGCUCGCAUGUCACAUUAGAGGACAUAUAAAGGACAUAUGAAUCUAACUCGCAAUAAAAAUUUUGGACCAAAUAUGAGCAUCGCAAUUCUUACUCGUAGAAUCUAAUUCAGUAAUUGAGAUCGGGACAAAAUUGUAUAUAUUAGGUUGUCCGAAAAGUGUCUUUCUUUUACAGACCCGUCUUUUACAACGAUGCAUCUUUAUACAAACAUAAAACCUAAUCUGUUGAACGUUGUGAUUUUUAUUUUAAUAGAAUAAAAUGGAUCGUACGUAAUUCGAUAAAAUAAUAUAAAACGGAAAAUGUUGUGCAUCUAUUAUUUUCUUAUAAAACGAAAGAAACUUUUCGGACGAGCUAAUAUCAAAACAAUGUAAGACUUUUUUCAAUUUAAUUUAUUAAUCUGUAUUCCUCUAUGUACAAGACUGCGCCUGCUAAAUAAUCCUUUCUAUGAUACAAGAUAGAGGUAAUUUAUUGGGUGAAAUCGCAUCUCAUCGUCAAACUCACUCAAUACAUUGCAAUCAAUUUUUUUAACCAUAAUAGAUUAAAAAAAGAGAGACAAAA